CCCUUAGAUGUUCUGGGCCGCACGCGCGCUACACUGAUUCAUGCAACAAGUUUUGUCCUUGGCUGAUAGGCCUGGGUAAUCUUUGAACGUGAAUCGUGAUGGGGAUAGAUGAUUGCAAUUAUUCAUCUUCAACGAGGAAUUCCUAGUAAACGCAAGUCAUCAGCUUGCAUUGAUUACGUCCCUGCCCUUUGUACACACCGCCCGUCGCACCUACCGAUUGAAUGGUCCGGUGAAUCUUUAGGACUGUGGCUGAGGCCUUGCCUUGUGCGGGUCUGGCCGUGGGAAUUUAGUUAAACCUUACCAUUUAGAGGAAGGAGAAGUCGUANCA
rnacentral:rRNA from 1 species